rnacentral:tRNA from 1 species
GGGUUGCUAGCUCAGUCGGUAGAGCAACGGACUUUUAAUCCGCAGGUCAUAGGUUCGAUUCCUAUGCAACCCACCA